UACGGAGGGAGCUAGCGUUGUUCGGAAUUACUGGGCGUAAAGCGCACGUAGGCGGCUUUGUAACUUAGAGGUGAAAGCCCGGGGCUCAACCCCGGAAUUGCCUUUAAGACUGCAUCGCUUGAAUCCAGGAGAGGUGAGUGGAAUUCCGAGUGUAGAGGUGAAAUUCGUAGAUAUUCGGAAGAACACCAGUGGCGAAGGCGGCUCACUGGACUGGUAUUGACGCUGAGGUGCGAAAGCGUGGGGAGCAAACAGG
rnacentral:rRNA from 1 species